rnacentral:rRNA from 1 species
CCUACGGGUGGCAGCAGUGAGGAAUAUUGGUCAAUGGGCGCGAGCCUGAACCAGCCAAGUAGCGUGAAGGAUGACGGCCCUACGGGUUGUAAACUUCUUUUAUAAAGGAAUAAAGUGCGGCACGUGUGCCUUUUUGUCUGUACUUUAUGAAUAAGGAUCGGCUAACUCCGUGCCAGCAGCCGCGGUAAUACGGAGGAUCCGAGCGUUAUCCGGAUUUAUUGGGUUUAAAGGGAGCGUAGAGGGGUUGUUAAGUCAGUUGUGAAAGUUUGCGGCUCAACCCCAGGAGUGCAAUUGAUACUGGCAGUCUUGAGUACAGUAGAGGUAGGCGGAAUGCGUGGUGUAGCGGUGAAAUGCUUAGAUAUCACGAAGAACUCCGAUUGCGAAGGCAGCUUACUAGACUGCCACUGACAUUGAUGCUCGAAAGUGUGGGUAUCAAACAGGAUUAGAUACCCUUGUAGUC